rnacentral:rRNA from 1 species
ACGGGUGAGUAACACGUGGGUAACCUGCCCAUCAGAAGGGGAUAACACUUGGAAACAGGUGCUAAUACCGUAUAACACUAUUUUCCGCAUGGAAGAAAGUUGAAAGGCGCUUUUGCGUCACUGAUGGAUGGACCCGCGGUGCAUUAGCUAGUUGGUGAGGUAACGGCUCACCAAGGCCACGAUGCAUAGCCGACCUGAGAGGGUGAUCGGCCACACUGGGACUGAGACACGGCCCAGACUCCUACGGGAGGCAGCAGUAGGGAAUCUUCGGCAAUGGACGAAAGUCUGACCGAGCAACGCCGCGUGAGUGAAGAAGGUUUUCGGAUCGUAAAACUCUGUUGUUAGAGAAGAACAAGGAUGAGAGUAAAAUGUUCAUCCCUUGACGGUAUCUAACCAGAAAGCCACGGCUAACUACGUGCCAGCAGCCGCGGCAAUACGUAGGUGGCAAGCGUUGUCCGGAUUUAUUGGGCGUAAAGCGAGCGCAGGCGGUUUCUUAAGUCUGAUGUGAAAGCCCCCGGCUCAACCGGGGAGGGUCAUUGGAAACUGGGAGACUUGAGUGCAGAAGAGGAGAGUGGAAUUCCAUGUGUAGCGGUGAAAUGCGUAGAUAUAUGGAGGAACACCAGUGGCGAAGGCGGCUCUCUGGUCUGUAACUGACGCUGAGGCUCGAAAGCGUGGGGAGCGAACAGGAUUAGAUACCCUGGUAGUCCACGCCGUAAA